GUUCCUCUCACUGAGCUGUUUAAUUCAUUUCCUUUUCCUUAGGAGGUUGACUCUGGGAGUAACAACAAUCCAUAAUCUCCUGUCACUGCCUAGCUAUCUUCUCAAAUUAGAGGGUGGUGGUAAACACAGCAAAGAAGUUCCAGCUUUUGCAGAGAGACAAGGAAGCAAGGAAGUGCCUCUUGUUCUGCUACUUUGAAAAUUAUUCAGUCACAGAAGUCCAGCAUUGUGACUCAAGAAUCAUUGAGUCCA
rnacentral:lncRNA from 1 species